CUCUUCCUAUCUGCCCACACAGCAUCCCUGCUCACAAAAAUGUAGUCAGCCCACUUAUAGGUUAUUAAGAAGCAAAAAUACAAAAUUGCUUAUGUUUCUUACUAAAAUUGUUCAUGAGAUGGAAAAAGAAAUUGUAAUAGGGAAGAAGAAAUCUGACUCCGUGUUCGAUCUGUUCCUUUGGC